AUUCAGGUUGUGAGCCGUCUUCUGAGAUGUAGCGAACUGUGAUGGCUAUCCGUCUAACUCGAUUACGUUAUCGGAAUCAGCAUUGUACUUGUAUGUCUUUUUACCUAUUUUGAGCUUAUUGAAGAUAAGCUUGAAAUCACUGCCACGUGAUUUAGCAAACUGAAGCAACUUCUUGCGCUCAAAGCAAACCUUCUUAGAGUAGUCUUCACUAAUGCCAAAUCCUGUUCCCUUUAGUCUUGAGGCGGCCUCAAGGACGCGUUGUCUUUCUUUAAAUGAUAUGAAUUUUACUAUUAAUGGUCUUUUCUUGUGCUCAGAGUACCGCCCUAUUCUAUGUGCUCUCUCCAUAGAUUGUAGUUCAAGUGACACAUUUAAUUUCUCUGCACAGAAGGACGUAAUCUUUUCUUCUGAUUCAGCCCAUGUUUCCUUCGCGGUGUCGGGAAGGCCGAAAAAAAUCAAGUUAUUCCGUCGAGACCUAUUUUCUAGGUCGUCUUGGCUAUCACGCAUUGAGGCAAGUGCAGAAGUGGCCGAGUCAACACGACAUGAAAUCCUUUCUAUCGUGGCAUGCAGUGAUGUGACGCGUGAUGCGGUUUCCUCAGCGAGUUGAACUUUGACACUCAAAUCGUUUAUCUUUUGUUCCAUUGCUUGCUGAUUAGCUCGAAGGCAGCGGAUCUCAUCUAGUAUCUCGGACUGCCCUUGCAUCAUCAAUGGAAUUUUCAUAAUAGCUUGAAACAUUUGCUGUUCUUGUUCAGUAGAAAGGGGUCCUGGAUUUUGUUCUACAUCUCCAGAGAGCAGUAAGUAAAUCUUAGACAGACAACCAGGGCUAAAAAUGCAACUUAACCCAAAAUAACACAGUUUGCUUGCAGCGAACAGUAAGCAUGCAAUGGGAUCUGACGCCGAUUUUUUAAAUGGCUUGCCAUUCACGAAACGGUAGGAGUAACUAACCUGCAUAAACAGUAGGCGUAAGUUUCUGGUGGCCAUGUCGGCGCCAGAUCCCAGAGUGGCAUAGCGAGGCAGCUGCUUAUGUAGUUUUCUGUCCGGGGCUGACCCCUGUUGCCAGCAGACGAGUUGUUCAACCAUAGGUGUCGCUGUGGUGUCCAGUGUGCCUUGUGGAUCCGAGAAGCGAAGAGUCGGGCAGGUGCCGUCAAAGUCGAAAGGUGUCGUGAUCAGCGCUCCGCGUCCAUCCGGAAAGCGAAGGGCCGUACUGCUGUCGGUCAAUCCGGCGCUCUCGGCGCUCAGGGGACACGUCAAGUUGGCGAACACGUAAGCAGCGAAACAGAGCCGACGAACGUCGCACGACGGUUAGUCAAACCGGAGACCAGAACGCAGAGCAACGUCCCGGCAAUGGCGAUAGCGGGAAGCCCUCGGCACCGAGCUCAUUGAAAUAUCAGCAGCAUGCCAGCGGAAUGAUGAACGUGAAUGCCAACGCCAUGAGGCAGAAGGACCAAGAGGAAAGGGGAAGACAAUAUCAGGAUCCUCUGAAGCGAGGCACCUCGCUAAGAGACGGCAAGCCGCCUUCCUCAGCGAGGCACCCGAAGACCAGGAGUGGGCCGUCCAGCGGGCCAGGGCCAUUGCCGAUGAUCUCGGAAAAUUUUCCUCGGGCGAUGGACCCCUGGCAGCCCAGCCCCGGGCUUCACCAGCAAUAACCGUUGGAGAAAUAAAGUUUA